CCUACGGUGGACAGCAGUGGGGAAUAUUGCACAAUGGGGGAAACCCUGAUGCAGCGACGCCGCGUGCGUGAAGAAGUAAUUCGUUAUGUAAAGCUCCAUCAGCAGGGAAGAAAAUGCCGGUACCUGAGUAAGAAGCCCCGGCUAACUACGUGCCAGCAGCCGCGGUAAUACGUAGGGGGCAAGCGUGAUCCGGAUGUACGGGGAGUAAAGGGAGCGUAGACGGCAGUGCAAGUCUGGAGUGAAAGGCGGGGGCUCAACCCCCGGACUGCACUGGAAACUGUACGGCUGGAGUGCAGGAGAGGUAAGUGGAAUUCCUGGUGUAGCGGUGAAAUGCGUAGAGAUUAGGAGGAACACCAGUGGCGAAGGCGGCUUACUGGACUGUAACUGACGUUGAGGCUCGAAAGCGUGGGGAGCAAACAGGAUUAGAUACCCGGGUAGUC
rnacentral:rRNA from 1 species